rnacentral:lncRNA from 1 species
UCCCUUUAUGCGGCUUAGGUACUUCGCCAAGUUACACUUAAGUUGCUCCGCUCCUCAUUUUUGCAUUGAGUUGAUAGUGGCCCUCGCGCCCACCAUUCCACGGGUCAGCCCUCCCUUGAGUCCGAUUUGCUAGUCAUAGGUGCCCAGCAAGCCAAUCACGUGAGUGAUGACACGUGUGACUUGAUACAUAAUCUUUUUGCUUAUUAUAUUUUGG